rnacentral:rRNA from 1 species
GAUGAACGCUGGCGGCGUGCCUAAUACAUGCAAGUCGAGCGAACGGACGAGAAGCUUGCUUCUCUGAUGUUAGCGGCGGACGGGUGAGUAACACGUGGAUAACCUACCUAUAAGACUGGGAUAACUUCGGGAAACCGGAGCUAAUACCGGAUAAUAUUUUGAACCGCAUGGUUCAAAAGUGAAAGACGGUCUUGCUGUCACUUAUAGAUGGAUCCGCGCUGCAUUAGCUAGUUGGUAAGGUAACGGCUUACCAAGGCAACGAUGCAUAGCCGACCUGAGAGGGUGAUCGGCACCACUGGAACUGAGACACGGUCCAGACUCCUACGGGAGGCAGCAGUAGGGAAUCUUCCGCAAUGGGCGAAAGCCUGACGGAGCAACGCCGCGUGAGUGAUGAAGGUCUUCGGAUCGUAAAACUCUGUUAUUAGGGAAGAACAUAUGUGUAAGUAACUGUGCACAUCUUGACGGUACCUAAUCAGAAAGCCACGGCUAACCACGUG